CAGGUCAAACAGACAGUCGCCGCGUAAUGCGUAAGGCUUACGGGGAGGAAAGUCCGGGCUCCAGAGAGCAGAAUGCCGGCUAACGGCCGGGUGCGGUAACGCAACGGAAAGUGGAACAGAGAGCUGAACCGCCGAUGGUUUGUGCUUGGGUGCAAACACAGGUAAGGGUGAAAAGGUGCGGUAAGAGCGCACCGUGCGGCUGGUAACAGUGCGCAGCGGGCUAAACCCCAUUCGGAGCAAGACCAAACAGAACGCUUUGACGCUGCUCGCCGAGCGUUCGGGUAGGUUGCUGGAGCGCAUCAGCAAUGGUGUGCCUAGAGGAAUGACUGUCCGACGACAGAACCCGGCUUACCGUUUGGGCUGUAUG
rnacentral:RNase_P_RNA from 2 species